rnacentral:lncRNA from 1 species
GAGAGAUCUUGAAGAGAAGGAUGAUAGCCGCAAGGUCUGAUGGCUUUGGUGCCGGUCGGGGAACGGGUGGCGGUGGUGGAGAGUGAUCAUGUUGACGAUGAUGCUCAUGAAGGUGAUGGUUGCUUUUGCAUGAGGUUCUUUUGAAGUGAUGGAGGCGAUUACGACGAUGAAGAUGGUGGUGAAGGUGGUGGUUGCUUUUGAAUGACGUUCAUUUGCGUCAUGAUUGAAAACUAUGGUUAAUUUGUGUGCCAACUAUAUUAGAUAGUUCAAAUUUGAAGCCAAUCGUCGAAAUUGAGGUCAAAUUGUCAAAUUUGAU